GUCGUUUUCUCCUUCUUUGGAGCAGGGUUGUUCUGUCCUGAGUUGCUGUCAUGGCUUGAGUUGGUUGACCUCCAGCCAAAAGGUAGGGCCAGCCUCCUGUCUGCUGAGCAAGUGUGGGGUCAUUGUCUCAUUUAUUUCCCUACUUCUCCUUCCUCGGCUUGCAAAUAGUGGCUCUGGCCUCUCCACUAUUGGAGCAUGAGAAGACAUGAGAUGAACUAUGGAAGUGAUGUUAGACAAAAAGCAAAUUCGAGUGAUUUUCUUAUUUGAGUUCAAAAAUGGGUCGUAAAGCAGCAGAGACAACUUGCAACAUCGAGAAUGCAUUUGCCCCAGGAGCUGCUAAUGAUUGACAGAUGCGGUGGUGGUUCGAGAAGUUUUGCAAAGGAGAAGAGAGCCUUGAAGAUGAGGAGUGUAGUGGCAGGCCAUCGGAAGUUGAUGACGACCAAUUGAGAGCAAUUAUCGAAGCUGAUCCUCUUACAACUAUACAAGAAGUUGCCAAAGAACUCAGCAUCGACCAUUCGACGGUCAUUUGACACUGGAAGCAAAUUGGAAAGGUGAAAAAGCUCGAUAAGUGGGUGCCUCAUGAGGUGAGUGAAAAUAAAAAGAUCGUCUUUUUGAAUUGUCAUCUUCUCUUAUUCUAUGCAACAACAACGGACCAUUUCUAGAUUGUAUUGUGACAUGCAAUGAAAAGUGGAUUUUUUUUCCUUUCUCUUUUUUUUUUUUUUUUUGAGAUGGAGU
rnacentral:lncRNA from 1 species